GAGAAGCUUCGACUAAGGUUCGACUCGAGCGAAGCGAGAGAACGUUGCCGCAGGCAACGGCCCGAAGGGCGAGGCGCUUUAGCGCCGAGU
rnacentral:sRNA from 1 species